AGCUCUGUAAGCGUAUACCAAAGUUGUUGCAGUUAAAACGCUCGUAGUCGAAUUUUGACGUUUAUGCUUCUUUGGAUCCCUGAUUGGGUUUUUGAAUGAAUGCUGCGUCUUUGUGGAUUUUUUAAAAUGCUUGGUGAUUCUUAAUUGUAAUUGCUGCAUUUUUGCCACUGUUUACUGUGAAAAAAUUAGAGUGCUUAAAGCGAGCGAUUUGCCAUGAAUAGAUUAGCAUGGAAUAAUAGAAUAGGACCUGGUUCUGUUUUCUAUUGGUUUGUCAGUGUCAGGUAAUGAUUAAGAGGGACGGUCGGGGGCAUUUGUAUUCCAGGGUUAGAGGUGAAAUUCUUAGAUCCUUGGAAGACACACAGCUGCGAAAGCGUCUGCCAAGGACGUUUUCA
rnacentral:rRNA from 1 species